AUGAUGGACUAUAGGACAGGACUGCUGCUUUUUACUGUCUGCUGGGCAGGUGUUGAUGGUCAGACUCUGACAGAAUCUGAAGCAGUGGUUAAAAGUCCUGGAGAAUCCCACAGACUGACCUGUUCAGCCUCUGGAUUCACAUUCAGCAGCUCCUGGAUGGCUUGGGUCAGACAGGCUCCUGGAAAAGGACUGGAGUGGAUCGCUACUAUUAGUAAUGGUGGUAGCAUCUACUACUCUAAUUCAGUCAAAAGCCGGUUCACCAUCUCCAGAGACAACAGCAGACAGCAGCUGUAUCUGCAGAUGAACAGUCUGAAGACUGAAGACACUGCAGUGUAUUACUGUCUCGAGAGGUGUCAGUUCACCUCCUGA